GAUCAGAUUUCGUUAUCACAAUGACAUUUUAACAAUAAAAAAUAUUCUCUCUUACAGCUAACGUUAACACUCGCUCUUUCUCUACAGUCUUCUUUCUCUGGUUUAUCCUCUAUAUCUAGCUCCUAGUGCCAUUUAGCUCCCCUAUUCGAAGAUCGGCUCUGCUAUCCUCGAUUUAGUGGUAGCCCUAGUGUUUUUGCAAUGCUAGGUGUUCGGACUGGAGAUGGAUUCAUCAAUUUCUCAGUGCUGGUCAAAGAGGUUUGUGCUUUAGAUGCACCCUAUGUUUUCACUGGUGUUGAUCAUUUGUGGCUCGAGUGGAUGACGAUCUAGACAGCUUCUGGAGCUUUUCUUCUUUUGGGUCAGGCUCUGUGUUGUAUAUGAUAUUUGGUUUUAAUUUAAUUUGGUGAGGCCUAUGUAUCUUA